rnacentral:rRNA from 1 species
UACAGAGGGUGCGAGCGUUGUCCGGAAUCACUGGGCGUAAAGGGCGCGUAGGCGGCUUGAUAAGGUUGCGGGUGAAAGCCCGGGCUCAACCCCGGGUCGGCCGUGGCAACUGUCGAGCUGGAGCACUGUAGAGGCAGGUGGAAUUCCGGUGUAGCGGUGGAAUGCGUAGAGAUCCGGAAGAACACCGGUGGCGAAGGCGGCCGCUGGCAGGUGGCUGACGCUGAGCGCGACAGCGUGGGAGCAACAGG